UCGUAGAAGAUUCUUCUUUUUAAAAAGAAUCUUAAUCUUGAGGACUCUGAUCAACUCUUUUGAUCUUAACUGAGAGAUCAACUCCUUGAUCUGCAGCCUUCUUCUUCUCCUCGAUCCUUGAUCUAUAAGUCACCAGAACUCCUUCUAGGUAUAUGGAAGAGAGAACACCCAACCUUUGGGCAUGAAAGGAAGAAUAUGAGAGAGAGGAGGCAUG
rnacentral:lncRNA from 1 species